rnacentral:rRNA from 1 species
GAAUAUUGGACAAUGGGCGCAAGCCUGAUCCAGCCAUACCGCGUGGGUGAAGACGGCCUUCGGGUUGUAAAGCCCUUUUGUUGGGAAAGACAAGCAGUCGCCUAAUCCCCGGUUGUUCUGACGUUACCCAAAGAAUAAGCACCGGCUCCCUUCGUGCCAGCAGCCGCGGUAAUACGAAGGGUGCAAGCGUUACUCGGAAUGACUGGGCGUAAAGCGGGCGUAGGUGGUGGUUUAAGUCGGUUGGGAAAGCCCUGGGCUCAACCUGGGAAUUGCAGUGGAUACUGGGCGACUAGAGUGUGGUAGAGGGUAGUGGAAUUCCCGGUGUAGCAGUGAAAUGCGUAGAGAUCGGGAGGAACAUCCAUGGCGAAGGCAGCUACCUGGACCAACACUGACACUGAGGCACGAAAGCGUGGGGAGCAAACAG